AUUGAACGCUGGCGGCAGGCCUAACACAUGCAAGUCGAGCGAGCGGCGGACGGGUGAGUAUUGUAUGGGGACUGCCCGAUAGAGGGGGAUAACUUCUGGAAACGGUGGCUAAUACCGCAUUCUACCGGAUAACCCAUAGGGGAUUAGCUAGUAGGUGGGGUAAAGGCUCACCUAGGCGAAGCUCUCUAGGUGGUCUGAGAGGAUGAUCGGCCACACUGGUACUGAGACACGGACCAGAAUCCUACGGAGGCAGCAGAGGGGAAUAUUGCACAAUGGGCGCAAGCCUGAUGCAGCCAUGCCGCGUGGAUGAAGAGGGCCGUAGGGUUGUAAAGUACUGCCAGCAGGGAGGCGUUACCGGCAGAAGAAGCACCGACUAACUCCGUGCCAGCAGCCGCGGUAAUUC
rnacentral:rRNA from 1 species